rnacentral:lncRNA from 1 species
GGUUAAUAUGAGUCUGAAAUGAGCCAUUUACAUUGCAACUAUAGAUAGGUAAAAUCUAUUUGCACAUGAAAGACAAGAUUGUUUUGCAUCUAACAUUAGGCCAAGGACUAAGAAGCAGGAAGGUUAUCGUCUAGCUGCUGCUGGGUACAUGCUUUCAUUAUGAGAUGAGAACCAAAUUCAGCUGAUUCACAGAUGAGUAUUGACAGAAUGAUGUUCAAAGUGAGGAUCACAUGGAGCAGUGUAUUCAUCAGACAUGGCUGGAGACACCUAUUUAAACAAGAAGUCAGUCUUCCAUCACAUACUUCACUUUGCCCAUGGAAAGAAUUUCACUGACUUAAAAAUUAUGUACCAUGUAUCUUGAUACUUAAUUCUGAAUUUUCUUUAAAAAUCUGUGGUACAGAAAAUAUAUCAUAUGAGAUAUCACUGUUCUGCAGUCUUGAGAGAUUUAUACUGGUAAGUCAAAGGUUGUUAAUCAUUUUAAUCAAAGACACUUUGAUUGAGGUUUACCUGCAUCCUGAUCAUGUCUAUAGCCUUUGUAAUAUCAUGUAAAUAGCCUUUGAUUUCCCUGCAUCCUCAUCACGAUCCAUCUGUAGCUGAAUAAAAUGAAACAAACAUAUAAACCCCUGCUCCA